CUACGGGUGGCUGCAGUGAGGAAUAUUGGUCAAUGGGCGCAAGCCUGAACCAGCCAUCCCGCGUGAAGGAUGACGGUCCUAUGGAUUGUAAACUUCUUUUGUGUACCAAGAAACUUGCUUACGGGUAAGCAACUGACGGUAGUACACGAAUAAGCACCGGCUAACUCGUGCCAGCAGCCGCGGUAAUACGGACGGGUGCAAGCGUUAUCCGGAUUUAUUGGGUUUAAAGGGUACGUAGGUGGCCAAUUAAGUCAGUGGUGAAAUCCUGCAGCUUAACUGUAGAAAUGCCAUUGAUACUGGUUGGCUUGAGUAUAGUUGAGGUAGGCGGAAUGUGUAGUGUAGCGGUGAAAUGCUUAGAUAUUACACAGAACUCCUAUUGCGAAGGCAGCUUACUAAACUAUUACUGACGCUGAGGUACGAAAGCGUGGGGAGCGAACAGGAUUAGAUACCCCAGUAGUC
rnacentral:rRNA from 1 species